CUGGCGGCGUGCUUAANACAUGCAAGUCGAACGAGAGGAGAAGGGAAGCUUGCUCUUUCGAAUCUAGUGGCAAACGGGUGAGUAACACGUAAACAACCUGCCUUCAGGAUGGGGACAACAGACGGAAACGACUGCUAAUACCGAAUACGUUCCUUAGGUCGCAUGACUUUAGGAAGAAAGGGUGGCCUCUACUUGUAAGCUAUCGCCUGAAGAGGGGUUUGCGUCUGAUUAGCUAGUUGGUGAGGUAACGGCCCACCAAGGCGACGAUCAGUAGCCGGACUGAGAGGUUGACCGGCCACAUUGGGACUGAGAUACGGCCCAGACUCCUACGGGAGGCAGCAGUGGGGAAUAUUGGGCAAUGGGGGAAACCCUGACCCAGCAACGCCGCGUGAAGGAAGAAGGCCUUCGGGUUGUAAACUUCUUUUACCAGGGACGAAGGACGUGACGGUACCUGGAGAAAAAGCAACGGCUAACUACGUG
rnacentral:rRNA from 1 species